AGUGGUCGUCUUGUCAUACCCAAUUUCAAUACUUUGACCAUGGACCCUUCUCAAUUUGAUGCCCUUACUCGAGAAUUAACUCAACUACAGUCUCAACUAGCAACUGUUCAAGCUAAGGUGACUGCUACUCAUGAAGAGAGUAGAGAACUAGCUGCUAAGGUGAAUAAUUUAAAAUGAACAUCUCCCUCAACCGACGCUGAUAACUCUGAAGCCUCUCAUAGCAUACCCAUCAUCAUCGACAUGGUGGUCGACGACGUAUUCAUCAUGGACGAAGGAAUGAGGAACAGGAAUGCAAUCAUGAACGAGACCAUGACCAUUAUGGUACUCAUUCACCUCCUCGCUACGAGGAGCGUUACUUUCGAAACAUCAAGUUAGAUGCUCCUACUUUCAAUGACUGUUUAGAUCCUAGAGUUUUUACACAAUGGAUUAGAGACAUGGAUCGUUUCUUUUCAUGGUAUAGAGUCCCAAAGGAUCGAAGAGUUCAAUUUGUCAGUUUGAAAUUAACUGGUACUGCCCAACUCUUUUGGAAAAGCGUUGAGGACCUUCUUGAGAGGCGUCAUGCACCUCCAGUUGAAAGUUGGGAGGGAAUGAAGCGCUGCUUUCAAGAGAAGUAUUUACCCCACUCUUAUAGGAGUAACUUGUUGGACUAGUGGAAUGCCCUCACACAAGGAAACCGUCCAGUGACUGACUAUCUUACUCAAUUUGAUGAGUUCCGAAUGCGAUGCCACAUCGUCGAGGAUAAAGCUAUGAUUUUAAGUAGGUUCAGAUAGGGCCUAAGAGAUGAUCUUCGGCGUGAGCUUGUUCUUCGAGGUGUCACCACUCUCGAUCACGCUUAUUCCUUAGUUCGAGAUUACGAGUCGAUUACUAAGACUCCGUAUGGAAGGCUUAGUGAUAACCGUCCAUCUAUCUCAUCGACACCACCUCCUCCCGCCAAAUCUCUUCUAGGACCUCCACCGUCUAACACACUCCCUGCUUUAGACAAUAAAGGUAAAGCUCCUGAAGCUUCAAGAACUUCUUGUUUGCAAUGCUUCAAUUGUAAGGGCUUCGGCCAUAUCUCCUCUAGAUGUCCGAGCCGAGCCUUAGUUAUUGACGAGUGAAAGGAUGUCGUUGAUGAGCCUUUAGGAGAUCAAGUCUAUGAGCCUAACUUUGAAGGGUUUGACGAUUUGGGUGAUAAUGAGGAUACCUUUUUAGGUUGCCUUCGUACCCUUCUUAUAGGUCUAGGUCCUGCUUCUCUGGCCCCCGAAACCUCUAGGUUGAGUGUUGUACGUUGUACCCUUACCCAACCUAAGGAUGUCGAUGAUUGGUGCCGUUAUGCUAUUUUUCAUACUUGCAUCAAGAUUAACGAUAAAGGUUGUAAGAUUAAUGUUUACAGUGGGAGUUGUAUUAACGCGGUUUCUAUGACCACAGUGUCCCGUCUUAGAUUAAAGUCAGUCCCGCACCCCCAACCAUAUAGUAUCUCUUGGGUUGACACUUCUUCUAUAGUUGUGAAAGAGCAUUAUUUGGUGUCUAUCCAGUUCCUUGAGUAUAAGGAUGUAACUAGCCAUGGGCGAUCAAAUUCAUGUUCCUUUGUAUUUAAUGGAAAGAAGAUUCACCUUAAUCUUUUACCACCAAAAUUUGUUGGCUCACACUAAGCCAAAAAAAUUGUCAAGAGGAAAGGAUUACAUGUGAUUAGCCCUACAGAAUUUGAACGGAUAAUCGUAAAUGAUUCAGUCGUAUUUGCUGUGAUUGUUAUGAAAGUCCUGUCCGAUUCCCCAAUAGCGACCCCUACUGAAGUCCAAUCACUCCUUCAGGAAUUUAAGGAUGUAUUUCCUGACGACCUCCCUGAUCUAUUGCCUCCCUUACGGGAUAUUCAACAUGCUAUAGAUCUAGCUCCAAGUGUGUCUCUCCCAGAUUCACCUCACUAUAGAAUGAAUCCUGCUGAACAUGCCGAGCUCCAGAGAUAAGUGAGUGAACUCCUUCACAAAGGCUUCAUCCGUGAAAGUUUAAGCCAUUGUGCAGUUCCCGCCCUUUUGACACCCAAAAAAGAUGGUUCUUGAAGGAUGUACGUUAAUAGUCACGCUAUCAAUAAGAUCACUGUCAAGUAUCGUUUUCUUAUCCCUCGACUUGAUGAUAUGCUAAAUAUGAUGGCCGGUGCCAAAAUCUUUUCCGAAAUUGAUUUGAAGAGUAGGUAUCAUCAGAUUAGGAUCCGCCCAAGAGACGAGUGAAAAACUGCAUUUAAAACGAAAGAUGGUCUAUACGAGUGGUUGGUCAUGUCUUUUAGACUAAGCAAUGCUCCAAGUACUUUUGUGAGGGUGAUGACACAGGCCCUUUGACCUUUCAUGGGCAUAUUCAUUGUCAUAUACUUUGAUGACAUUCUCGUAUACAGUAAAACUAGGGAACAACAUCGAGAUCAUCUCACGCAAGUUUACUCUACACUGCGUGCUACAAGCUUGUAUGCCAAUGUGAAGAAACGUUCUUUCUUCACUGAUAGAGUUGUGUUCCUCGAGUUCAUUGUUUCCACUACGGGAGUAUCUGCUAAUCCUACGAAGAUUCGGGCAAUUGUUGAUUGGCCUGACCCCAAGAAUAUACAUGAAGUUAGGAGUUUUCAUGGUUUAGCUACCUUUUAUCGUCGUUUCAUCAAGCGAUUUAGUACGAUCAUGGCUCCUAUCACAGAGUGUAUGAAGAGAGGAGAAUUUCAUUGGACGCAAGAAGCGGCUAAGGCCUUUAAGUUAAUCAAAAGGCGAAUGACAGAGGCUCCUAUCAUACGACUCCCAGAUUUUUGCAAAGUCUUUAAGGUCGAAUGUGAUGCAUCAGGGGUAGGAAUAGAUGGAGUCUUAAGUCAAAAACGCCAUCUUAUUGCUUAUUUUAGUGAGAAAUUAAAUGAUGCCAAGCAACGGUACUCGACUUAUGAUAAGGAGUUGUAUGCAGUUGUACAAGCCUUGCACUAUUGGCUUAAUUACUUAUUACCCCAAGAAUUUGUCCUCUUUUCGGACAAUGAGGCCCUUCGUUUCCUUAAUUCCCAGAGACGAUUGAAUUCUAGGCAUAGACGCUGGAUCGAAUAUUUGCAGGUCUAUUCUUUUGUCUUAAAGUAUAAAAAGGGUGUUGAAAAUCGAGCAGCUAACGUUUUAAACUGUCGCAUCUCCCUGUUGUCCAUCAUGAGUGUUAAGGUCAUAGGGUUUGAAAGACUUAAGGAAGAGUAUAAGUCAUGUCCCGAUUUCAAAAACAUUUUUCUUACUUUGCAAAAUGGGAAGUUGGACACUACUGAUAGUUUCCAUUUGGAGGGGCCCUAUCAUUUUAGAUCCAAUAAGUUGUGUAUCCCGAGGACUUCAGUGUGAGACUUUAUAGUGAGGGAAAGCCAUACUGGCGGGUUGGCCGAGCAUUAUGGGCAUGAUAAGACCAUAGAUGAAAUUGAACGUCAAUUCUAUUUGCCCAGCUUAAAGACAGACGUGGCCAGAAUAGUUAGCACAUGUAACACCUGUCAGCAAUCUAAGCAAAAGAGGCAGAACACGGGUCUCUACACGCCUCUUCCCAUCCCUAGUUGUCCUUGGCAGACGUUAGUAUGGAUCAUGCUAUGGUUGUCACGUACUCCAAAGAAACACGACUCCAUUUUUGUUGUAGUAGAUCGCUUCUCAAAAAUGGCACACUUUAUUCCCUAUAACAAAACUUUCGAUGCAUCUAAGGUUGCUAAGUUAUACAUUCAUGAGAUCGUCAAGUUGUAUGGCCUCUCUAAGACCAUUGUCUUAGAUAGGGAUGUUCGUUUCACUAGCCAUUUUUUGUGAACCCUAUAGAGUAUGGUUGGCACUAAACUGAAAUUCUCUACUGCAAACCACCCACAAACGGACAGUCAAACUGAAAUUGUUAACCGCAGUCUCUGUAAUCUAUUAAGAUGUCUAGUCCAGGAAAAUCUUAAAAAUUGGGACUUAAUUCUUCCUACUGCCCAACUUGCAUAUAACAGUCCAGUGAAUUGGUCUAUAGGUAUGAGUUCUUUUGAGGUUGUUCAUGGUUUUAAACCUAGGAAGCCGUUAGAUCUUAUUCCCAUGUCUCCGUAUGCUAGUGUGUCUGUGUCAACUGAGUCUUUUGCACAACAUCUGCAUGACUUGCAUAUUGAGAUCAAUAAACAGCUGGAAGCAAGUAAUGCAUUAUAUAAAUUUCGAGCUAAUUUGCACACACGCCACGUUGAAUUUGAUGUUGGAGAUUAUGUUAUGAUUCGAAUUAGACCAGAACGGCAUCCAUCUGGGCCUGCUUCCAAAUUACAAGCUCAUAGUGCUUGUUCUUUUAAAAUUUUAAAGCAUAUUUGUCCAAAUGCAUAUGUCAUUGACUUACUAUCACAUUUUGUCUGCCACCCUACCUUUAAUGUUGAAGACUUAGUUGCUUACAAUGGCCAAUUUCACCCUGCUAAUGUCUAUCUAUAGGCCCUCAUCCAAAACAUGUUAUUCCUGCCCCGAUUCCACCUGUUGCAGCACAUAAAGAUAAAAUUCAAGCUAUUCUAGAUGCACAGACCAUAUUAACCAAGGAUGAGACAUUCAGCGCUUCGUUGUUCGUUGGGAGAGCCAUCCCGAUUCUGAUUGUACUUGGAUUUCCAAGGAGACACUUCAGCAGCUUGAUCCUGAUUUGUUGGAGCAUUAUAGGAGUUAACAAGAUCUUUCCCUACCCGAACCACCACCCUUACGUGUCUACAGACGUCGAAAGAGGUUUGCUCAACCGCUUAGUUUGUCGCUGGGAGAUUGACAGCAGCCUUUUGUGAUUUCCCUACUCGACGGGGUCGAAUUUUCCCUUACCUCGGGAGAGUUGAUGCGGACAUUAUCCUCAUCAGGCCAUUUUAUCUUCUAUUUAUUUAUUUUAGGCCUUAUGUUUCAUUGGGCUUGUAUAUAGAUUUGGCCCAAGCCCAAGUUUAUUAUUUUGUUAUUUACGAUUGUAAUUUGGAUUGAAAGAUCAGUUGGAUAGAAUGAAAAUUAUUCACAUUGUUGCUCCACUUUCCCUGUCUUCUCUCUUCUCCCUCAUUCUUGCUUCUUCCCAUACUCCCUCGAUUGCUUCUCUAAUGGUCCUACAUCAGCUAGCUUCCACAUAGGAAGGAAAUUAAAAAACAUACUGAAGAAAUUUAUCCUAAGAACAAUGAACAUAGAAGACAAAAAAAUGUUGGAAGUUAGCUGAAUAAGAAGUGGACUUGUGAUAAUUGAAGGCUUUUUUGUUAGAAUUAUAUGUAUGUAGAACAUUUAUUAGGUAAGAUAAACUUUCAUUAAUUCGAAGGAAACUACAAGUAUAGGUUAUAAGUGCUCUAGGGCAAACCUACUUAAUAGACUGACCUAUUGUGGAUGCCAAACUCAUGGGAAGGUCAAGCAUCUGAUAUAAAAGAAGUGUAAACUAGUCAAGUCGAACCGACAAUCAUUUGACUUGGCAAUUCACAUAAAGGAGUCAUAUUCAAUACCAAACCUUUCACGUGGUUGAUAAACAAUCACAAAUGACAGAUCAACUACACUGCACUGCACUGCAUUUGUAAAUUUCGGCGGAGCCAACAGCCACCUUGCUGGGUUCUGGCUGCGCCACUGGCGACACCUAGGUUCGAGGCUUGGGCGAAAUGCCAUGCUUUGGCAAUAAGCAUCUAGUGGCACUUUAUAAUUAUUUUUUAUUUUUUUCAUUUUUUAAAGCCAUUUAUUUAAUUUUUGUUUUAAGUUUUUAAAUGAC
rnacentral:lncRNA from 1 species